GACGAACGCUGGCGGCGUGCCUAACACAUGCAAGUCGAACGGAAAGGCCCUGCUUUUGCUGGGUGCACGAUUGGCGAAGAGGUGAGUAACACGUGAGUAACCUGCCCUUACCUGUGUGAUAGCUUCAGGUAACUGGGGCUAAUACCGGAUAGGAGCUCCUGCUGCAUGGUGUGGGUUGGAAAGUUUCGGCGGUUGGGGAUGGACUCGCGGCUUAUCAGCUUUUUGGUGGGGUAGUGACUUGCCAAGGUUUGGACGGUUAGCCGGCCUGAGAGGGUGAACGGGCACAUUGGGCCUGAGAGACGGACCAGACGCCUACGGGCGGCAGCGGUGGAGAACAUUGCACAAUGGGCGGAAGCCUGAUGCAGGGAUGCCGGGUGCGGGAGGACGGUUUUCGGGGUAUAAACCGCUUUCGCCUGUGACGUAGCCUGAGUGACGGUAAUGGGUAAAGAAGCCACGGCUAACUACGUG
rnacentral:rRNA from 1 species